GAGGAGAGAAAAGACCUGAACAGAAGCCUGUCUGCUCCCAGGCACUCUGUCCCUUGGCCAACUACCCUAGAGACAGGUCCUGAAGCGGGUCACCGCCCACAGAAGCAUCCGCAGCACUCAGCUGGGCCUACGCACGACCACGACGGAAACUUCUGGUCAAACGGAUCACCAUAGCAACUUUCAGUAGACAUCCAGCAUGCAAAUGAGACGGUGGAAAAGGCCGCUUUCUCCAAAGCCCCAGACCGUCCUCCUCGGAACCUGCCGGGGAUUGAAUUCUAGACCCUUUGAAGGUUUCACUCAGAGUCUGUGUCAAGGCUGGUCGGCACCUGGCUAGGUCUGCUGAUGUCUUCAGAUGCUGAGUGAUCUCCACCAGCGAAUGUUCCAGAAGCUUCUGCGGACCCCUUGAGGAUGGGGCUCCUGUGUAGAAUACGGCCCCUUGGCUGCGGUGAGCUCUGCCUUCAUACUCGGCGCCUGACUGCCCACCCAUCCUCACCAUCCGGCCCAGGCAUUGAAUGUCCUGACGGAAGAUGAGAAAUAGUCUCAGUCGUGCCUCCUCUUAAACCCCUCCCCGCAGAGUUACCCUCUGCAGAUGAACACGCAGAGCCAGUUUUCUCACUGUGCCUUUUUCAUUAAUAAAGUAUAUGAUCCAGGGACUUGCCUGGUGGCCCAGUGCCUAAGACUCUGCGCUCCCAACGCAGGGGGCCCCGGGUUCGGUUCCUGCUCGGGGAGCCAGAUCCCGCGUGCCGAGACUAAGAGGUCACACACCGC
ensembl:lncRNA